rnacentral:rRNA from 1 species
GUGCUUAACACAUGCAAGUCGAGUGCGCGGUUGUAGCAAUACAACUGGCGCACGGCGCACGGGUGCGUAACACGUGGGCAAUCUGCCCUUCGAUGGGGAAUAACUCCGGGAAACCGAAGCUAAUUCCGCAUAAUAUUCCUUGGACUCCGGUUUGAGGAUUCAAAGCAGCAAUGCGUCGAAGGAGGAGUCCGCGCCCGAUUAGCUAGUUGGCAGGGUAACGGCCUACCAAGGCAAUGAUCGGUAGCUGGUCUGAGAGGAUGGCCAGCCACACUGGAACUGAGACACGGUCCAG